rnacentral:rRNA from 1 species
UACGGAGGGUGCAAGCGUUAAUCGGAAUUACUGGGCGUAAAGCGUGCGCAGGCGGUUUGUUAAGUCCGUUGUGAAAGCCCCGGGCUCAACCUGGGAAUUGCAUUCGAGACUGCAUAGCUAGGGUGCGGAAGAGGGAAGCGGAAUUUCCGGUGUAGCGGUGAAAUGCGUAGAUAUCGGAAGGAACACCAGUGGCGAAAGCGGCUUCCUGGUCCAGCACCGACGUUCAGGCACGAAAGCGUGGGGAGCAAACAGG